CCAUAGCUCAGUGGAUUAGAGCGUCUGCCUCCGGAGCAGAAGGUCGUGGGUUCGAAUCCCCCUGGGC
rnacentral:tRNA from 4 species